rnacentral:rRNA from 1 species
UACGUAGGGGGCAAGCGUUGUCCGGAUUUAUUGGGCGUAAAGAGCGUGUAGGCGGCUAGAUAGGUCCGUUGUGAAACCUGGAGGCUCAACCUCCAGCUGUCGAUGGAAACCAUCUGGCUAGAGUCCGGAAGAGGAGAGUGGAAUUCCGGGUGUAGCGGUGGAAUGCGUAGAGAUCCGGAAGAACACCGGUGGCGAAGGCAGUCUGCUGGGCAGUUGCUGACACUGAGGCGCGACAGCGUGGGGAGCAAACAGG